rnacentral:lncRNA from 1 species
GUGGGAACUUCAUUACCGCUAUCAUCAUAUGAUGAUAAACAGUAAUAGACAGCCUCAUCUUCAGUCUGAGUUCUGGUGAUGGUCAGGGUGGCUGUUGUCCCUGAGCUGGAUCCAGAGAAUCUCUCUGGGAUCCCUGAGGGUCGCUUAGUAUCCUCGUAUAUUACCCGGAGAGGGGUCUGUCCUGGGUGCUGCUGCUGGAACCAGUAUGCAUAAUACUUUGAGAGUUUAUCUCCAGAGCAAGUGAUUGUGGCUGUCUGUCCCAGGGCUACUGAGACUGAGGGUGGCUGAGUCAGCUCAUAGGAGACCACAGAACCUGCAAGAGAAGAGAGAGAUGAAGGAACC